rnacentral:rRNA from 1 species
UCGGGAAUUUUGGGCAAUGGGCGAAAGCCUGACCCAGCAACGCCGCGUGAAGGAUGAAGUAUUUCGGUAUGUAAACUUCGAAAGAAUAGGAAGAAUAAAUGACGGUACUAUUUAUAAGGUCCGGCUAACUACGUGCCAGCAGCCGCGGUAAUACGUAGGGACCAAGCGUUGUUCGGAUUUACUGGGCGUAAAGGGCGCGUAGGCGGCAAUUCAAGUCAUCUGUGAAAUCUCCGGACUUAACUCGGAACGGUCAGGUGAUACUGCUUUGCUAGAGUGCAGAAGGGGCAAUCGGAAUUCUUGGUGUAGCGGUGAAAUGCGUAGAUAUCAAGAGGAACACCUGAGGUGAAGACGGGUUGCUGGGCUGACACUGACGCUGAGGCGCGAAAGCCAGGGGAGCAAACGGGAUUAGAUACCCAUGUAGUCCCUGAGCGGGCUGGCAAGGCGCAU